UACGGGGGGGGCAAGCGUUGUUCGGAAUUACUGGGCGUAAAGGGCGCGUAGGCGGCUCAUCAAGUCGGGCGUGAAAUCUCCGGGCUUAACCUGGAAAAGUCGUUCGAUACUGUUGGGCUAGAGUGUGGAAGAGGCUACUGGAAUUCCGUGUGUAGCGGUGAAAUGCGUAGAUAUCUGGAGGAACACCGGUGGCGAAGGCGGCAUCCUGGACCGGCAUUGACGCUGAGGCGCGAAAGCUAGGGGAGCAAACGGG
rnacentral:rRNA from 1 species